AUUGAACGCUGGCGGCAGGCCUAACACAUGCAAGUCGAACGGUAACAGGAAACAGCUUGCUGUUUCGCUGACGAGUGGCGGACGGGUGAGUAAUGUCUGGGAAACUGCCUGAUGGAGGGGGAUAACUACUGGAAACGGUAGCUAAUACCGCAUAACGUCGCAAGACCAAAGAGGGGGACCUUCCGGCCUCUUGCCAUCGGAUGUGCCCAGAUGGGAUUAGCUAGUAGGUGGGGUAACGGCUCACCUAGGCGACGAUCCCUAGCUGGUCUGAGAGGAUGACCAGCCACACUGGAACUGGGACACGGUCCAGACUCCUACGGGAGGCAGCAGUGGGGAAUAUUGCACAAUGGGCGCAAGCCUGAUGCAGCCAUGUCGCGUGUAUGAAGAAGGCCUUCGGGUUGUAAAGUACUUUCAGCGGGGAGGAAGGGAGUAAAGUUAAUACCUUUGCUCAUUGACGUUACCCGCAGAAGAAGCACCGGCUAACUCCGUGCCAGCAGCCGCCGUAA
rnacentral:rRNA from 1 species